CUAGCGAACCGACCUUGUAGCUCUGCCCGAGUUUGGCAGCGCUAAAUGCUCUGAGUGAAACAGAAACACGUUCACACCGCGUCGCGGAGAGUCGGCAGUGAAAGAGUCGGGUCUGGCUUUUUUGAGUGGCUCGAAGAAUGAAACGAGUAUAUUGCUAUUCUCAUGAUGGAAUAUGCGUCCAUAUGUAAGAAAGUAAAUGGACAGAAUUGCUUCUGUGGUUUUUUUUAAAGGUUCAAGAGUCAUACUAAAAAACAAGGAGGAGACUCUGCUGGAGGCCAGCACACACAUUCAAAAUCUGCCUGAGAAGGUUUUAUAUGGACAUGGCACUGAGGGGUAUGUGAAGAUGUGGACUGAGACUAUGACAGGCUCUGUGAAACUCUCUGUUCUCAUGUUGGUCAGAUGUCUGGUAAGGCAAAGAAUGUUUCUUAUGUUUCUUGUAACCUCCCAUAUUAAACUCUUUAAGGAACUACUAUUUUGCUGUCUUUUCUAACUGUGUAUUACUAAAUCUCCAAAGUGGGAAGGUAUAAUAAAAAUUGCAAGAGGGCAUUUUAUUGUAAAAAAAAAAAGUUAAAUCUCUACAAGAUACAAUAAUAAGCCAUGCUUUUGAAGUACGUACUGAACUAUAAAAA